GCCUUCGUGGUGUAAUGGUCAGCACAUUCAGCUUUGUAUUCGAGAGGUCCAUAGUUCAAGUCCCGGCGAGGGCA
rnacentral:tRNA from 1 species